AGGCCUCAGUUCUGAUGCCUCCGUUGGCUGGUUGGUCUCUUUCACUUGGACUCCCAUCUAGCAGCAAUGAUCCAUCACAUCCCUAUACAAAUGCAAAUUAAGUUAGAGGUAAUAUCUUUUUUCUAUAUAUAUAUAUGCAUGCAUAUAUAUUAACCUUAUUGGUGAAACAUGCUCUGUAGUUGCAACUUUUUUCUCCUUGUUACUUUAUUCUCCAAAAUAAGUUACUCGAUCUUCAGAAGUUUGAUCCAUGAGUUAAAAUACUUCAUGGGUACUCAUUUUUAAUAUUUUUUUCUUUUAUCAUGGAAUUUAUAUAACUAAUCACUUUUGCCUGAUCGAAUAGCAUUAUAUUAUUCUAGCAAAACAUAGAUGAUUAAGGAAAGGUAAGAAAAGUAGUGAAUUUGAUCUCUUUUAUUAAUAAAUUAUAAUUCUAACAAUUAACAUUUUUCGAUAAAAAAAAAAUUACCUGAACAAAACAAUCAUGGAAGAAAAUGCGGAGUAAGGCAGGAGCUUGGCCAUUGUCAUCCUUGAACACCUUCUUGAGAUGUUUCCUCACAAUGGACUCAAGCUUGGGGCAUGUUUUGGAAUAGAAAGAAUAUGAUAGUCCCUUCACUACUGGGGGCUUGGCUUCUACUUGGGAGGCAUAAAUGUGUGAAAUAAACAGAAUGGAAGAAAUCAAGAACAAAGGAUAAGCACUAGACCUAGCCAUCUUUGUUUACCUUGAUGAGUUUGAUAUUUGAGAUUCACAACUAGGGUGAGAAUUUAUAGGAGGGCUGCUAUGGGGUUAUGCCCCACAUGUUUUUUACCUAAUAAAGUAAGCCCAAGUAAGUUUCGGAGAAAAUUCUAUUCUACAUAUUAAGACACCGGAGUGAGGUAGGUGUGUAAGGGAACUUGUAAUUUUCGCUUAUACACAUGCAUGUGCAUACAUGGUUUGAAUUUUUCCAAAUCGUGAAUACUAGCUAAUAGUAUACGUUAUAGUACAUAUUUAGGAUAUUCAAUUCUCUUGUAAAAAAAAUCAAUUCAUUGGGUUUAUUAACUUUUUGUCCCUCAUUUUGUAUUUUAGUGCUUAAAAAAAUAUUUUUAGUUUUAGUCCUUUAAAAAUUUAUUCGUUCUGUUUUUAUUAGCUCCCGAAAAAUUCUACAUUAGAGAUCAAAAAAAUGAAAGAGAAUUUUUUUUUACUAAAAACAAACAAAAAAUGAUGAAAAAUUAAAAACUGAAAUUCAAAAAAAUAAUAAACCCAAAUUCAUUCGCAUACAUGUUUUAAAUUAUUUAAAAACAAAUAUUAAAUAGUUUUUUCGAUUUUGAUGAAAAAAAUGUUUUAAUAAAAUAAUUUUUUAAUUAAAAAUUCCUGAGGGAAAUUAGUAUACAUCGAUAAAAAGAGAAAAAUAUUCUUUCAACAUAAACUUUUUAUUAGAUAAUUUUAUUUCAAGACCUACAUUAAUUAAAGAUUAUAUAUAUAUAUAUAUAUAUAUAUAUAUAUAUAUAUAUAUAUAUAUAUAUAUAUAUAUAUAUAUAUAUAUAUAUAUAUAUCAUAUUUAUAAAAUUUAAAAUUGAUUCAAACUUAAUUAUAAAUUCUUUAAUACUCACAUAUAUGUAGGUAAUAUGUGUCUUAUUAUUCUUCAUAGUAUGGUCUCAAAUUCAAUUGAGUGUAUGUUGGAAAAAACUCUCGGUGAAAGAGAUGCUCUUACCAUACUAAAAACCUUUUUAGUCAAAGGAUUCCCGUGUCUUAAAUUGUGCGUGUGUAUGUAUAGUGCCUUCUUUUAUUAUUUAAAUUUAUAGUGAUAAAAUUUAAAUUCAAUAACGGUAUUCUGAAAUUGGUCAAAAUAAAACGUCCACGUGCACUUGAAUGAUGAGUUUGAACCCUUAUUUUGUGUGUGUGAAUGAUGAUGAGUAUGAAGCUAUUAUGUAAAAGAUGAUGUGAACAAAGAUUCCAAUAAUUUAAAAACAGGCAAGUGGCAUAUAUUAUUAGACUGGAGAUCACUCAAGUCAAAUUUAAUGUUAUUAGUUAUUACUUGCUAGAGGGAUAGUUACGGACUUUGCAUGGUGAGGGAACUCAAUUUAAAUGUAACAAGAAUUUUUAUUUUUUUUAAGUAACAAGAAAAAAUUGAAUAAAAAGUUAACAGAAAAAAAUAACUUAAAUACAUUUUUUAUUCUUUAAAGUUGGGUCUAUUUUAUUUUAUUUUUUUCAAAAAAUUUAAAUUUAGUUUUUGCUCUUAAUUUCAGAAAAUGUUCUUUUUAAUUUUUCUUAACUAAUUUUUUACAGUUUAAUUAUACAAUUUGAGAUAAUUUUUUAUUAGAUAAGGGACAAAAAAUAAUAUUUUUCAAAAUUAAAUGAUAAAAAGAAUUUAAAUUUGAGGGAUAAAAACAAAAAUAACCUAAUUUGAGGAGUCAGAAUAUAUUUAAGUCAUAAAAAUUUGCUACAAGUUGACAUAUAUUUAAGUCAUAAAAAUUUGCUACAAGUUGACAUCUGUCGUACGUAGAUUCGAUUAGUUAUGAACUUCUUUUAUUUUAAGACGAUUUUAAUUAAAAAAAUAAAGAUAAUAUCCAAUCACAACAUGCGAUGCAGCAAGGGUAGGAUUAUAAAUUAAUACACGGAAUCAUUGCAGAUUAUUAUAUUCUUCACUGGCAUUCAGAUUGAAUGCUCAAGAACAAUUAGUAAACUUUAACCCAAAUUAAAGGGUGGAAACAAAGGCAUUAAUUAAACAUAUAUAUGAGAAAAUUUUAUCUUUUGUGCAUGCGUGCACAUGAAAAAAGUAACCACGCGCGUUAUACGAAGUGGGGUUAUUUAGGAUAGACAUGAAAAUCGAGAAAUUUCAGACCGAAAAAAAGGAGAAUGCACGCAUGUACUGUCAAAAUAGGCGGCUUCAGAGCUAUCCACCAAAACCUCCUUUCUUGGUACGUGCACGACGGCUCCUCUUUAGAAGUUAGAAAUGUAUAUAUUUCCAAUUAAAUGUUGACCACAAAAUAUAUAUAUAUAUAUAUAUAUAUAUAUAUAUAUAAUAUUAAAGAAUUUAUUUUAAUUAUGUAACAUUCCAUUUUCAAUUUAUUAGUUAUUUUCUCUAUUGCUUUAAUUUGAGGAUUUCAAUAACAUGAUUUAACGCACACUUACCAUCCCAAAUAAAAGUUUUUUUUUUUAAGUCUCAUGUUAGUUGUUCAAUAGGAAUAUUCAUGAUUAUGGAUCCACAUCUUAUCCAACUCAAUUUAAUUAUAUUUGAUUAAAUUUUUAAAAUAUUUUGAUCAAAUUUAAAUCAUUCUAAUUAAGAUUGAUCAUUGGAUAAUAUGUUUUAUUUUUUUAAUUCGAUGUAACUCAUUUUAUAUAAUUAAAUUUAUUUUUAUAUAUAAAUUAAUUAUUACCUAAAAAAUAUAUUAAUAAUUUAUAACUCACAUAAUUUAUUAAAUUUAGUCAUUCAUGAUUUUUUUUUGAAGUUGUUAUUUUUAUUUUUUUUCUUAAUUUUAUAUAUAUUUUCACAUGUUAAUAUCAUACUUUAUUUAUAUCUAAAUAAAAAUAUUAUAUUAAUAUUAAAAUUAUUAAUUUUAUCAGUCAAAUAUUAUUAUAAUUUGGUCUUUUUUAAGUGCAUUUAGUAAUUAUAUACUUACAAAUAUUUAAGUAAAAACAAAUUAUUAUUCUAAAAAAUUACCUUUUAAAAAUAAAAAAAAUUAUUUUUAAAUAUUCAUAUCCAAUUAAUCAAACCUAAUUCAAUUCAUUUGUUAUCAUGUUGAUUUGGGUCGGGUCUAUAAAAAAAAUUACACGAAUUUAACCCAACCCAAGCCAUAUUAAUUAAGUAGCUUAUUAUUUGAUAUAAAUUUUCUAACGACUUUUAUGUACCGGUGGAUUUUGUGCUAUAAAUAUUAAGAAUUGUAAAUUUGGAUUCAAAUUUAUUUUAUAUUUAUAAAAAAAAUUAUAAUGAUAGGAUUCCACCUAUUAAAAGAGUUUUAAUUUCAUAAAGAAAUAGGCAUAUAAAUAUUAGUAUAUAUACUCAUCUAAACUCAAAUAUAAGUACAAAGUACUUCUCUAAUUAAGAUUAAUUGCUAGUGAAAUUCAUUUAAUUAUUUGAUUUCUUACAAACAAAAAAGAACUAUAUCUUCUAAACUUCGUGUGCCUUAAUUAAAUAUUUUGGAGAUGGUGGUCACAUUUAAAUCUAAAAAUAUUUUUAAAAUAGUAAUAUUGAAUAAGGUUAAUUAAAUCUUUUGGAGAUGAUUUGUUAUUUAAUGAGGGAUGUUGUGUUGUUGGCUCGUUGUUUCCUGUACUAAAUUACUUUCUUUACAUUUUCUUUUACUUUCAGAAUGGCCAAUCUAAAAGCUAAAAACAUUCCAAAAAAGAAUACAGGAAGUAAUUUGGAAGUGCAGGAAGCAACAACCUUUGUUGUUUGCUCACAAGUUCGAGAAAAGCAACGGUGUUUGAUUGUAAUUGGCCUGUAGGGAUUCUGUUCCAUUGGACUUUUAUGGGUUGCCUAUUUAUGUUUGGGUUGCUUUGUUUUUCUUUCUCUGUAACGAUUGG
rnacentral:lncRNA from 1 species